rnacentral:rRNA from 1 species
UACGAAGGGUGCAAGCGUUACUCGGAAUUACUGAGCGUAAAGCGUGCGUAGGUGGUUUGUUAAGUCUGAUGUGAAAGCCCUGGGCUCAACCUGGGAAUUGCAUUGGAUACUGGCAGGCUAGAGUGCGGUAGAGGAUGGCGGAAUUCCCGGUGUAGCAGUGAAAUGCGUAGAGAUCGGGAGGAACAUCUGUGGCGAAGGCGGCGUUCUGGACUGCAACUGACACUGAGAGACGAAAGCCAGGGGAGCAAACGGG